GAGUGUUAUGGCUCUUUUAGAAUUUGUCUAGCAGGUUUUCCUGUCUUUACUGGGAAGUCCUA
ensembl:snRNA U7 U7 small nuclear RNA